GAUGAACGCUGGCGGCGUGCCUAAUACAUGCAAGUCGAGCGAACGGACGAGAAGCUUGCUUCUCUGAUGUUAGCGGCGGACGGGUGAGUAACACGUGGAUAACCUACCUAUAAGACUGGGAUAACUUCGGGAAACCGGAGCUAAUACCGGAUAAUAUUUUGAACCGCAUGGUUCAAAAGUGAAAGACGGUCCUGCUGUCACUUAUAGAUGCAUCCGCGCUGCAUUAGCUAGUUGGUAAGGUAACGGCUUACCAAGGCAACGAUGCAUAGCCGACCUGAGAGGGUGAUCGGCCACACUGGAACUGAGACACGGUCCAGACGCCUACGGGAGGCAGCAGUAGGGAAUCUUCCGCAAUGGGCGAAAGCCUGACGGAGCAACGCCGCGUGAGUGAUGAAGGUCUUCGGAUCGUAAAACUCUGUUAUUAGGGAAGAACAUAUGUGUAAGUAACUGUGCACAUCUUGACGGUACCUAAUCAGAAAGCCACGGCUAACUACGUG
rnacentral:rRNA from 1 species